GAUGAACGCUGGCGGCGUGCCUAAUACAUGCAAGUCGAGCGAACAGACGAGGAGCUUGCUCCUCUGACGUUAGCGGCGGACGGGUGAGUAACCCGUGGAUAACCUACCUAUAAGACUGGGAUAACUUCGGGAAACCGGAGCUAAUACCGGAUAAUAUAUUGAACCGCAUGGUUCAAUAGUGAAAGACGGUUUUGCUGUCACUUAUAGAUGGAUCCGCGCCGCAUUAGCUAGUUGGUAAGGUAACGGCUUACCAAGGCAACGAUGCGUAGCCGACCUGAGAGGGUGAUCGGCCACACUGGAACUGAGACACGGUCCAGACUCCUACGGGAGGCAGCAGUAGGGAAUCUUCCGCAAUGGGCGAAAGCCUGACGGAGCAACGCCGCGUGAGUGAUGAAGGUCUUCGGAUCGUAAAACUCUGUUAUUAGGGAAGAACAAAUGUGUAAGUAACUAUGCACGUCUUGACGGUACCUAAUCAGGAAGCCACGGCUAACUACGUG
rnacentral:rRNA from 1 species